CAUAUCCUCUCCUUGCUCCACAUCAUCCAGAUCAUCAUCAUCGUCAUCAUCUUCAUUCAGUGGCUCAUCAUCAUCAUCAUCUCCAGCAUCAUUUUGAGGGGCAACAGCAGGUGUGCUUGCUUGUAGGUCAUUAGGAGCUGGUGUGUUCGCAAUGUUGUAAUCUUCAUUGACAACUCCUUGAUAAUUGUAUAUAUUGGGAGUUGACAGCACAUCAUCAUAAGGAUCAGGUAUGGG
rnacentral:misc_RNA from 1 species